UGCUCUUCCGCCAUGAUUGUGAGGUCUCUCCAGCCACGUGGAACUUUUUCAUCAGCUUUUCAUGUUUCACUGGGGAGUGCAUCCUGAGAGGUCGUCACACUAUCAUCUUGGAAGUGAAUCUCUUACAUUUCAGUUUUAAAGGGAAAAACAACAUGAACUGUUCGUCUAUCUAUAUCGUCAUUAUUUUUUACCUCAUGGAUUGAAACAAAUUUUAAAGGAAAAAAGAAUGUUAAGAAAGAGCAGCACUUACUAUCAGGGAGGCACCUCACGAGCAUUGUAAACACUCAGGCUCGCUGCUUUCUGAAGGACAUGCCAAUCAUGCACAGCACUUACUAGAAACUGCAAGACUGCACAACAUGAUGGUAUUUAUUCCAGGAACAGGAGCCAGUCCUGGGCACACACAUAAAGGGACUUCCUUCACUCCCCAGAAGAAGAGAAAGCAUGCUGACACACAUCUGCCCAAGCAAUCAGAAGGCAGCUAAAGCCGCCACAGUCUUCACUCACCAACAGUUAGACCUUUUCAAUUGAUUUUAUUGAAGAAAGUGAGUGCUGAGCACCAUGAGUUCUCAUAAACAAUCCAUUUUGGCAAAUGCUUUAAGAAUGUUGGUUAAUUGCAGUUAGGCAGCAUCGACGUAUUUUAUUUUUUGGAAAGCAAGAAGCUGGCUUACCAACAUUAAGUUAAACAACAUGUAAGGGUUAGAAAUAUGAAUCAACAAACUAUUAGGGUGGUACCAUCUCUUUAUAAUAAAACAAUGUAGAUUGAUUAAGUAUAGCCUAAAAGUUUACCACAAAUCAUAACUACAUUUAAGCUUUGAAUUUCAUGACUAGUGAUUAAUUUUGCAUGUCAACUUGACUGAGCUUAUAGAAUGCCCAGGUAUCUGAUUAAACGUUAUUUCUGGAGGUGUCUGUGAGGGUGUUUCUGUAAGAGAUUAGCAUCUGAAGGCCAGGUGUGGUGGCUCAUGCCUGUAAUCCUAGUACUUUGGGAGGCCGAGGUGGGCAGAUUGCCUGAGCUCAGGAGUCUGAGACCAGCCUGGGCAACAUGGCAAAACACCGUCUGUACUAAAAAAUACAAAGUUUAGCCGGAUGUGGUGGCACACACCUGUAGUCCCAGCUACUAGGGAGGCUAAGGCAUGAGAAUUUCCUGAGCCUGCGAGGCGGAGGUUGUGGUAAGCCAAGAUUGUACUCCAGCCUGGGUGAUAAAGUGAGACCCUAUCUCAUAAAAAACAAAAAAACAAAAAAGAAAAAAGGAGAAGAAAGAGACACAGAUUAGCAUUUGAAUGGGUGGACUGAGUAAAGCAGAUGGCCCUCGUCAGUGUUGGUGGGAAUUGUCCUAUCCAUUGAGGGCUUAAAUGAAACAAAGACUGAGGAAGGCUGAAUUCAAUCUCUGCUGACUGCUGGGGCUGAGACAUCAAUCUUCUCCGGCUCUCAGUGCUCUUCCAGACUCAGACUGGAAUGUACACUAUCAGCUCUCCAGUUCUCAGGCCUUCAAAUUACACCUCUGGCUUUCCUGGGUCUCCAGCUUGCAGAUGGCAGAUCGUGGGACUUCAUGGGACUUCUCAGACUCCAUAACCAAGCAAGCCAUUUUACUUACUUUGGACUCAUUUUCUUAAUCCAAAAAUGGAAGUAAGGCUUGUCAUCUGUCUUAUUCAUAGUCACAGGGCUGAGGAGCUACAGUCUAAAUGCAUACGCAUGUUGGGAACCGAAGUCAGCCAUCUUCCCUAGGACAAAUCUUUACUCUUCUAAAGAAGGACAAGAAUAAGGUCUACUUUCAGCUAACCAUUUAUAAGGUUCAGUUUUCAUUGGAUCAAAGGAAUAUAAUCUAAUACUUUUUAAAUGGGGUCAAAACAGUAUUAUAAGGAAAAUAUUUACUGCAAAUAUUUAUAAUUGUGUAAGGAGAAUCAUUCUUUUUAAAAUCAAGUUGUGUUUUAGCUUUAGAAUCUUUUAAAAUCACAAGUAUUUGAGAAUCCAUCCCCACAAAAAUUAAAAAAUACUAUAUUAGUUAUUUUAAACAGUAUUCAUUACUUUUACUGUUUAUGUUAUAAUAAACUUAUGUAUAUAAACAUUUGAAUAUGCAUGGUACAAAGUACAAGUACAGAACAUGUAGUAAGUAGUAUGUGCAUGUAUGUGUGUGUGUGCAUAUCGUAUAAAAAUAUGAGAAAAAUUUUACUUAUAUAAAAACAUAUAUAUAAAUAAGUGUUCAGGAGAGUUUUUGAGAAUCUGCUUUACAUACUGCAAUUUUGAGUGAAAAUUAUGGAUAUUAAUUUCCUGAUUAAAGGAACUGUGUCUUCUCAUGAUGAGUCCUAAAAAUAAGCCAAAAUACUACUUAAUCUCCAUCACUUUUUUUCUUAAUUACUGGCUGACUUUUUUUCUGCGUGAAAUGGCAUUACAAUGGCAGGGAAAUUUAAUAAUGCAAAAAUCACUUUUGAAAAUGAGAAAGAAUAAUUCUAGUUACCUUUUAAAUUGAUACUUUUAAAGAGAAAUUCAAAUCAAAAAUAAAUAAAUUAAAGUCUGAGACCAAUUUGCCACUGUGAAUAUAAGCACAUUAACCCCAGGAAGAGCCAAGAACUACACAAACCUCUCUAUGAGAAUUUACCAGUCUUCUUUCAUUUGGCAAGAAAAAGCUCAGGAAAAUUUGCUUGUUUAAAUUCUAUGAGCCUAGUCUAUGGGGAAAAAAAAAAUAGGAAUAUGAAAGAAAUUCUUACCUCCAGCAACAUAUCAUAGGGAGAGAUGUGGACAAAUGAACAAUAUUUACUGGAAAUAGGAAUUAUAAAUCAAAUUUUGAAAACCCUAUGCUAAGGAAGGAAGGAGUUAUUAUAAAUUCACUCAGAGACCCAAACGUUAGGUUCAGCUAAAGAAAUGUCAGUCUUGGAUAUAUAUUAAAUGUUUUCAAGAGCAAAAUUGAAAUUACUGAAUUGGAAAUGCUCCAAAUUAUAGGUCAUCAUUUCUACUUUGGACAAUUUUUUAUGAAU
rnacentral:lncRNA from 1 species